UACGGAGGGUGCAAGCGUUAAUCGGAAUUACUGGGCGUAAAGCGCACGCAGGCGGCUUUGUAAGUCAGAGGUGAAAGCCUGGAGCUCAACUCCAGAACUGCCUUUGAGACUGCAUCGCUCGAAUCCGGGAGAGGUGAGUGGAAUUCCGAGUGUAGAGGUGAAAUUCGUAGAUAUUCGGAAGAACACCAGUGGCGAAGGCGGCUCACUGGACCGGUAUUGACGCUGAGGUGCGAAAGCGUGGGGAGCAAACAGG
rnacentral:rRNA from 1 species